rnacentral:rRNA from 1 species
GUUGAACGCUGGCGGCAUGCUUUACACAUGCAAGUCGAACGGCAGCGCGGGCUUCGGCCUGGCGGCGAGUGGCGAACGGGUGAGUAAUGCAUCGGAACGUGCCCAGUAGUGGGGGAUAGCCCGGCGAAAGCCGGAUUAAUCCCUCAUACGACCUGAGGGUGAAAGCGGGGGACCGAAAGGCCUCGCGCUAUUUGAGCGGCCGAUGUCGGAUUAGCUAGUUGGUGGGGUAAAGGGUUACCAAGGCGACGAUCCGUAGCUGGUCUGAGAGGACGACCAGCCACACGGGGACUGAGACACGGCCCAGACUCCUACGGGAGGCAGCAGUGGGGAAUUUUGGACAAGGGGGGCAAGCCUGAUCCAGCCAUGCCGCGUGAGGGAAGAAGGCCUUCGGGUUGUAAACCGCUUUUGUUCGGGAAGAAAUCCUGUGGGCUAAUACCCCGGGGGGAUGACGGUACCGGAAGAAUAAGCACCGGCUAACUACGUG